rnacentral:rRNA from 1 species
UGGCGGCAUGCCUUACACAUGCAAGUCGAACGGCAGCACGGGGGCAACCCUGGUGGCGAGUGGCGAACGGGUGAGUAAUACAUCGGAACGUGUCCUGUAGUGGGGGAUAGCCCGGCGAAAGCCGGAUUAAUACCGCAUACGAUCUGCGGAUGAAAGCGGGGGCUCCUUCGGGACCUCGCGCUACAGGGGCGGCCGAUGGCAGAUUAGCUAGUUGGUGGGGUAAAGGCCUACCAAGGCGACGCAUCUGUAGCUGGUCUGAGAGGACGACCAGCCACACUGGGACUGAGACACGGCCCAGACUCCUACGGGAGGCAGCAGUGGGGAAUUUUGGACAAUGGGCGCAAGCCUGAUCCAGCAAUGCCGCGUGUGUGAAGAAGGUCUUCGGGUUGUAAAGCACUUUUGUCCGGAAAGAAAACCUUCCCCCUAAUACGGUGGGGGGAUGACGGUACCGGAAGAAUAAGCGCCGGCUAACUACGUGCCAGCAGCCGCGGUAAUACGUAGGGUGCAAGCGUUAAUCGGGAAUUACUGGGCGUAAAGCGUGCGCAG